AUAAUCUAAAUAUUUUCUUGAUAGCGAAACUUAAACUAAAAGAAUCCAUCGACAUCCCUACAACUGAACUAAAAACUUAAACCAAGGAACAUCAUCCGACAUGAACAUUGUCCCUACAAUGUAACUAAAACUGAAAGCAUCCAUCAUCAUCAUCAUGAAUAGGAACAUCAUCAUCAUCAUUGCAUUAUGCUUUCCACUUACCCAUAUAAUCCAUUUAUCUUUUGAAUCUAUAAACAUAAAAACAGAACGAACUGUCAGCACACAAGGCAUUGAUAUGAUGCAAGUAGUGAUAUCGGCAGGAUAUUAGUCAUGUACAAACAUCACAACAGGUGUAACCAUGGGAAUUACAAAAUCUUAGCUUGUAAAUAUCUGGUUUGCAAUUUAAGUUCCUAUCGCCUUAAAACAGAAAUCCACAAGUAUAUCAUUUUUCGACAAUGCAAGGAAAAUCAUCCCAGCCUUUGAAACAUAGCAGGCACAAGUUUCUUCAAACAUUGUAAAAAAGGCUAAUAAGGUCAUUCUCCUAUACAUACUUAUUUCCCUCUAGGAAACAUUCUACUAAGGAAUUUGUCCCUGGAACUUGUCCUAUUUGGUUUAUUGGAUGAGCCUUACUAAGUAUGCCAAGAAGUAAAAAAAAGGCAACUAGGAAAGUUUGCUCAUACUAGUGGAGCACCGUAAACUUUAGUCGACCAUGCUACUAGUUGUGACGAACAUUAAAAUUGCUAUCAAUUGUGAAGUGAUUUUUUUAAUACAUUAGAUAACAUCAGUUUUCAGCACACACAUGUAUCUUCUAUUUUUUUGCUUCAUAAAUGUGUAUAAAUACUGAAUAUCUUAAAAAAAGGCCGAUUUGGGGAGUCACAAACAUAAAUUACAUGCGCUUUUUACCUAAGUUAUGCAUACCUGUCGUCAUUCAUGUAUGAUAGUAGCCUUCAAGUCCCAGUUGUGGUCUGAAGUUGCAGUACACCUGAUCAUAUGUCAUACAGGCCAAUGCUUAAUCACAUGUCAGCAUCAAUAUAUACCAAAAAAAUUAUGGUACCAUGGAAAAAAGAUAGGGGAGACAUGCAGCCUUCCAGUCAACUGCGUUUUGCAGCUAUAUUCAAAGCUUCUAAUAAUAUAUAAUC
rnacentral:lncRNA from 1 species